AAUCAACGCUGGCGGCGUGCCUCAGACAUGCAAGUCGAACGCGAAAUCCCGAGCAAUCGGGAGAGUAGAGUGGCGCACGGGUGAGUAACACGUAGGUAAUCUACCUUCGGAUGGGGAAUAACAACCGGAAACGGUUGCUAAUACCGCAUAAUGCAGCGGCACCUAAUGGUGACAGUUGUUAAAGCGGGGGAUCGAAAGACCUCGCGUCUGAAGAGGAGCCUGCGGCGGAUUAGCUAGUUGGUAAGGUAAUGGCUUACCAAGGCAACGAUCCGUAACCGGCCUGAGAGGGCGGUCGGUCACACUGACACUGACAUACGGGUCAGACUCCUACGGGAGGCAGCAGUCGGGAAUUUUGGGCAAUGGGCGAAAGCCUGACCC
rnacentral:rRNA from 1 species